rnacentral:rRNA from 1 species
UACGGAGGGGGCUAGCGUUUGUUCGGAAUUACUGGGCGUAAAGAGCGUGUAGGCGGCUAGGUAGGUCCGUUGUAAAAACUCGAGGCUCAACCUCGAGACGCCGAUGGAAACCAUCUAGCUAGAGUCCGGAAGAGGAGACGUGGAAUUCCUGGUGUAGCGGUGAAUGCGCAGAUAUCAGGAGGAACACCAGAGCGGAAGGCAGGAUCUCUGGGCCGUAACUGACUCUGGAGAAAGCGAAAGCAUGGGGAGCGAACAGG